AGCAGGAACGGAAGAAAUCUGAGAAGGAAAUUGCAAUAAAAAGACGAAAAUUGGAAAAGACUUUGAAGAAUUCGGCCAUCAACAAAUCGAAAGUAACUAAGAAGAAAACGAAAAGUAAAGAAGUUUUUUCAGAAACUGUGCCCACAGACCAAAAGAGUAGUACGGAAACCCGAGGCAAUGCACCAAACGAGAAACAUUCUCCAGAAUGUAUUUCAAAACCAAUGAAAAUACUAAA